rnacentral:lncRNA from 1 species
UCCUUCACGACAAGAUCAAGAAGCUCACCCACGACGUUAGGAUCGCGGACACGGUCACCAACGUCAUCGUGCCGGCGUUCGACGUCAAGUACCUGCAGCCGGUCAUCUUCAGCACCUACGAGGCCAAGCACGACCCCCUCAAUAACGCUCACCUCGCCGACAUCUGCAUCAGCACGUCGGCGGCGCCGACCUACUUCCCGGCGCACUUCUUCAAGACCGAGGCUCCCAACGGGCAACGGCAAGUCCCGGGAGUUCCACCUCGUCGACGGCGGCGUGGCGGCCAACAACCCCACCAUGGUGGCCAUGUCCAUGCUCACCAAGGAGGUGCUCCGUCGCAAUUCGGACUUCCAUUUGAGCAGGCACUCCGCCGAUUACCGGGACUACCUCAUCAUCUUUAUCGGGACCGGGUCGGCGAAGCAGGCGGAGAAGUAUACCGCACAUCAGUGUGCUAAGUGGGGUCUCUUCCAGUGGCUCUACCAUGGCGGCUUCAACCCGAUAAUCGACAUCUUCUCCCAUGCCAGCUCUGACAUGGUCGACAUCCAUGCGGCCGUGCUCUUUGAGGCCCUCCACUCUGAGAUGAGUUACCUUCGCAUCCAGGUAUAUUUACUGAUAAAGACUCAAGUUGUUCUUGAUAUCUCCACAGAGUUUGUCGUCGACAAUGAUAUGCAUUAUAUAUAUUUGUGUAGGAUGACUCGUUGAAGGGGAACGAGUCGUCAGUGGACGUCGCGACCAAGGAGAACAUGGAGACCCUGAUAGGGAUCGGCAAGGAGCUGCUCAAGAAACCGGUGGCGAGAGUGAACAUCGACACAGGGAUCUACGAGACCGUUGCUGGUGAGGGCACAAACGAAGAAGCGCUAGCACGCUUCGCCGAGAUACUCUCUGAAGAGCGCACGCUACGCAAGAACAAUCUCAACGCGUAAUACCUCUCAGUAACAGCUUGGUUUUUGCCAAGAAAUUGAGCCCAAGGAUCAGCAGCGGUACAGCAUUUUGGAUUGGCCGCAGUCUGGGUACAGCAUUUUGUGGCAACCUGGGGUACGGUGGUCAUCACAUCACUGGGGGAGAUUGGGCCUCCAAAUCUUUCGAUCUCGUUGUUGCCCGGUUUCAAUUCUUGUGGACAAUGUUGAUAUAAUCUGUAUCUGUGUUGGAUAAUAUUUGGGUUUAGCUUAAUUGUAUGAACAUUGAACAAAAGGGUUGGCGAUCACUUUUACAAGCAAUAUAGUUGGUGCAUUAAGUGCGUACGUUAUAGAGGCAUCAUAUACACGGCGACACAGAUUGUCCCAGGCCAAGCUGGUCUCAUUUCUAGAGUUCAUUUUACAACACCCCUAUUAGAAUAUACUCAUUCAUUUCCAAAUUGCAGGUCAUUUUACUUAUCACGUUGAUCUGACGGGAUUCAAAAAUGGCUCACAUAGAAUUCACUUGUCAGGUUGAUCUGGCUCCACUUCUGAGAGACAAGGCAGAGGUUGGGGCCCCCCUCUAUGUGCGGACGUCUUCAGCGUACAGUUCGUGUCCGGCCACGCAUGAUGGGCCGGGGUCGCUGUUAAUCCGUGACCAACUGCACGUUUUGGAACUUCCCAAAAAAAAAAUCGAAAAAGAGAAGACCCAACUUCACCUACCUGCACAUGUAUCACGUACUACUACGUACAAGGCCCAGCACAUGUCUGUUUUUCUUUCCAGCGACUACGACACUUACCGUACCCAAUAUGAAUCCCCAGUUUUCAUAACAGAUGGACUUUCAAAAUACUCAUUUUCGAAAGUCUAGCUAGUUGCUUUCAAAAUAUUCAUUUUAUCUGGUCAAUAAAUACGAACAUGAAGGCCUUUUCACACAACUACGUACUAAUCUGUUUUGAGGAAAAAAAAACUAAGAUUGUACUUUUAUGAGAUGGAGGGAGUACAUGUUAUGCUUUAUGGAGGCAAAAAAAAAAGAAAUCCAAUUCUGCUGUAGAAGAUCGAUCGAUGGAGUUGAUCUUUCAACACGGAUAUAUUACAGGAGUAAGGAGUUGGGGGACCUAUACGUUUUUAUAUACUCGUACGUACACUAGCUACUAUAUCGGCAGGUAUUAUAAAGUAGAUCGAGCAUGGAUACAUUAUCCCUACCAUUACACUAGUGUAUCUGAUUUUGUUCCGUUCGGACUUACCAAACUAGCACUGAAAUGCAGACGGAUCACGAAUGAUUCCAACUCCAUGCUUAGUUUAACCAUCCGCAUGACUCGCAACCACCUUAUAAAACAAGAGCACUCCCUUGUCCAACUUACAAUCAACAAGGCUAGCUGUUCCGAAAUGUCCCCAAAGAGAAAGCCCCAUUGUCCGGCCUCUUCAUGACGCAGCUCCCUAGUUUAAUCAUCCAUGUGAUCCCCAACACCAUGAAUGAAUGGUAUAUGCCUGCUUCAUUGUUGGAGUAGCUUGGAUGUUGAAAUCGUCUAUUCAUGCAUGAUCACAUCAAGAGAUGCCUUGUUGGCGAUGAUAAAGUGUAGCUAGAGUUUGAUUUACUAAAUGGGUAUGCACGAAAUUUUUUUCUAUGGUUAAAUUGGACAAUGUAGCCUCAGUAAUAUCCACAUGUGUAACCACAAACAUGAUGAGUCUAAAGUUCACGGAUAUGCGUGAAUUUCCCUAUUAUAUUAUAGGCAUGAUGCAGUAUAUGCACACAGACUGGCCACCGCGUAUGGACUAUUUGUCGCCUCACGACAACUUUGCCUGAUUAUAAAACUAAAAGAUUCAAAUUUUGUACAGAUCCUUCUUAGAGAGUGUGGAUGGGUGCCGGAUUUGCAGGAUUAUCUUUUAAGAUGAGACAAAGAAGUUGGAGUAUUUUCCGCUCCAGGCUGUUCAUCUAUCAAGUGGCACCAUUAUAUUGGUGUGCAGGUCAACUAGUCGAUACACUAUAUAUGAUAGAAAAUCUCUCUUGAUCUGCUGGAGAAUUUGUUGCCAGAGGCCAUCCUCCUUGAUUAGUUUGUACAAAUACUAUUUGCUUAAAAAAGCCAAUCUCCUUGUUCUUUUGGCGUGCAAAGAAUAUUCCAUUUUGUUAGUCUAUAUUUCUGCUUAAGUCUUGACCUAAUGUAAUCUCUUAAGAACUUUUCUAGGUAUUUCAGAAAAGGAGAUCAUGUACAUAGACAAGUUAGUUAGAACUAAGUUUAUAAGUGUUAGCCUCCCUGCAGCAUAGGAGCUUUUCCAAGUACUCAGCUUUUUUCAAAUAUUUCUUCUACCUCUAGACAAUCUUUAUUAAGUAAUCAUGUACGGUGCAUUGGAAUAUAACCAGAUAGCGAAAUGGAGCCUUCCCAACUGCACAUGCAUCCAAAAAUGUCCAUGUAUUCUUGUUGUGCCCCUUCUGCCUCCCUAUUGCAGAAUAACUCACUCUUAUCUGAGUUUAUCUUGAGGUCAGAUAGUUGCUUGAAAGUUGUAAGUACGAAGUUCAUAUUCUUAGCUUCUUUGAGAUUAUAUUCCAUAAAAAGAACUGUGUAUCGUCUGCAUGUUGAAGAAUAGGUAGGCCGUUAUUGACUAAAUGGGGGAUUAUGCUAGAGAUUUGACCAUCUUUUUUCGCCCUUGCUAUCAUCUUGCUAUCAAUGUUGCGAACAUUAUCCGCACGGGGAGAGUUCAAAUUUUACACCAUCAUCAUUGACUUAAUCCCCCAUGCGAAAACAAUCAAUGUCGUUCAUGGGUACGCACAAAGUUUUCUAUUACAAUUAAGCAUGGAUAUGCAGAGAUGAUCACAUCGAACCACCAUGUAUGGACUAUUUGUCGCAUGGCGACAAAUUUGACCAAAUAAAACUAAAAAAUUCAAAUUUUGUACAUAUAUCUUAGAUAUUAUAGAUGGGCACCAGAUUUACAUGAUUAUUUUUUUUUAAGGUCAGAGGCAGGCAACCGCUACUACUAUACCAAAGAAGCUAUUUUCCGCUCCAGGGGUUCAUCUGCCGUGUGACACAGUUACAGCAGUGCGGUAAAACUAUUCGACAUACUAUAUGAUACAAAAUCUCUUUUGAUCUGUGUUUGUUAAAUCAUUGCCUGACUUAAAAAGUUGCUUAUUAGUGUAAUUGUGUGUUUGUGGAAGUUGCAUUACAAGAUAUCUCUAAACAUUUCCUAAAAGUAUUAACCGCGAGUUAACCCUUAUGCGCAAGUGUACGUGUGCGUAUCUCUUUUCAUAUAUAUGUAAAAAAGAUAGGUAGAGGCUUCCCCUGCUGAUUUCCUUAAAAAAAAAACCUUGUGCCCAAGCAUCAUGCAUGGGUGCUGGGUUGAUCAUAUUUUAUUUGAGCUGCUGACACUCAUCCGCGUGAUAAGCAAUCAGAUAUCUUAAUAUGAUGGCCAACUUCUUUUCCCAUCCUUUCAACUCGUUUCGAGGACCAAGGCCCAGUAGGAACCCAAACAAAGGCGUGAAAACGUGAAGCACAAAAAAAGUGUUUGAGGAAAAAGAGAGAGAUUCCGUCACUAGCCCGCCUCUGAGUUCUGACUGUGACUGGGAUGGCAGUCCAUGCUUCUUCUUCUUCUUUUGAAACGAAAUGGCAGGCCAUGCUGCAAGCUAAACCAAGACCAAACCCUUAUCACUCAUUCAUACUACUCUUGACCGUCUCAGGUUUUAUAUAAAGCUCGCCAGAGCCUGCGGAUUCGGAGCACAAGAUCCAAGGAGCAGGGCAUCUAGAGAAGUACAGAAGUGAUCUCUUCCUGGAUUCUCUUAUACCUGAUCUGCCAUGGACAGCAACGGCGGCACGGCCACCGCUGCCGACAAGACGGUGCCACAGCCGCCACCGUCGACGGGGAAACUCAUCACCGUUCUGAGCAUCGACGGCGGCGGGAUCCGCGGCCUCAUCCCGGCGACCAUCAUCGCCUUCCUUGAGGCCAAGCUGCAGGCACGUGUUCAAAACCACCAUUUAAAUUGAGCACAUAGUACUGCUCCAACGAUGUCUUGUGCUCACCGCUCAUCCUGCGCUUGAUUUUAAUUAAUAUAGUCAAUCUUUGGUUUCAUUCAUGUGAUACAAUUUUUUUAUUUUUUUUGUUCGGCAGGAGCUGGACGGCCUGGACGCUCGGAUCGCGGACUACUUCGACGUGAUCGCCGGGACGAGCACCGGCGCCCUGCUCACGUCGAUGCUGGCGGCGCCGGACAAGAACAACCGGCCACUCUUCACCGCCAAGGAUCUCAACACCUUCUACCUCAAGAACGGCCCCAACAUCUUCCCGGAGAAGAAGUACGUCCUUGGUUAAUUCGACGAACACACACAUACCUGCACCUACCACAAGAGAAAUUCACACGUGCGUACAAAUUGUGUGGCGGCGCAGGGCCGGGUUCCUGACGCCGGCGGCGAAGCUCCUUGGCGCGGUGAGGGGCCCCAAGUACGACGGCGUGUUCCUGCACGACAAGAUCAAGAGCCUCACCCACGACGUGAGGGUCGCGGACACGGUCACCAACGUCAUCGUGCCGGCGUUCGACGUCAAGUACCUGCAGCCGGUCAUCUUCAGCACCUACGAGGCCAAGCACGACCCCCUCAAGAACGCUCACCUCGCCGACAUCUGCAUCAGCACGUCAGCGGCGCCGACCUACUUCCCGGCGCACUUCUUCACCACCAGCGACGGCAAAGGUGGCUCCCGGGAGUACCACCUCGUCAACGGCGGCGUCGCGGCCAACAACCCCACCAUGGCCGCCAUGUCCAUGCUCACCAAGGAGGUGCUCCGUCACAACCCGGACUUCAACCCCGGGAAGCCCUCCGAUUACAGGCACUACCUCAUCAUCUCCAUCGGCACCGGGUCGGCGAAGCAGGAGGAGAAGUACACCGCGCCGCAGUGCGCUAAGUGGGGUCUCCUCCAGUGGCUCUACAAUGGCGGAUUCACCCCGAUCAUCGACAUCUUCUCCCAUGCGAGCUCCGACAUGGUCGACAUUCACGCCGCCGUGCUCUUUGAGGCCCUUCACUGUGAGAAGAACUACCUUCGCAUCCAGGUGUUACAUUCUUAACUACAGUAUACGUGUUUUUUUUUAACCUUAAGUUGUUAUUUUCACAGCACAAAACAUUGAACGAUGUGUAAACACAUGUGGAUGUAGGAUGACUCGUUGACGGGGGACACGUCAUCAGUUGACAUCACAACCAAGGAGAACAUGGAGGCUCUGAUCAGGAUCGGCCAUGAGCUGCUCAAGAAGCCUGUGUCAAGAGUGAACAUCGACACGGGGAUGUACGAGCCUGUUAACGGUGAAGGAACGAAUGAAGAGGCGCUAGCACGCUUCGCCAAGAUACUCUCCGACGAACGCAGGCUACGGCAGAGCAAACUCAGCUCCAACUAGCUCUUGUUCAUAGCUACCUUGGUGCUUGCCAACAAGUUCAGCACAUGGAGCUGGAGUUGCAAAGUGGAUGAGAAUGGGAUGGGCGGUAGGUGAAGUGCUGAUCAUAAGUUCUUUUUAGUAAUUAAUCAAGAAACGUACAUGAAAGCAAUAAACUUGUAAGCAUAGGGUGAUGUAAGUGCUAACGUCUGUAUUACACAAACAGAUUAGUUCUCUAUGUGCUGACAGAUGUUAUAUAUGAAACUUGAUCCUAACAUACAUAUAGGUAGCACUUGGUUUUGUUUUAAAAUCAGGUGUGACAACUGCAUCACCGUUGGAUGCGGCCUUGUAAUAAUAACACCAUGGCACAACUCCUCGUGGGGUAGAAGCUGUUUUUUGUUCAGUUGGCUAUUCCAAAAUGAUAUUGUUUCAACGAACCAACUAAUGUUACUAGAAUGCAGGCCUUGUAGUAAUAACUAAUCUCACUCGUUGAGCACGAUUAGCUUAGUUUAUUAUUACUCCGAUGCGGACACCUCAACCACUCCGAUAUUGUCCGAUGCGUCUUCAUUUUUUUAGGGAGGUACAAAUCCACCGGCGAGCAAAUCCAGAGCCAGGUAACGCCGAGCAACCAUACACCGUGCCUACCAUGCCGGGCGAAGCUAUUCACGUCGUGAUGCUCCCCUGGCUCGCCUUCGGCCAUAUCAGCCCGUUCGCGCAGCUGGCGCGGAAGCUGUUCUCCGUCGAGGGCGGGCACAACAUCCGCGUGACGUUCCUGACGGCCGACGGGAACCUGCCGCGCGUGCAGGCCAUGCUGGCGCCGGCCGCCGGCGCGGCGGCCGUCGUGCCGCUACACCUGCCCCACGUGCCGGGGCUACCCGAGGGAGCCGCCAGCACGGCCGAGCUCACGGCCGACGGCGCCGAGCUCCUCAAGGUCGCCUUCGACGGCACUCGGGACCAGGUGUCGGCGCUGUUGUCCGAGCUCCGCCCGGACGCCGCGCUGAUCGACUUCGCCACCCCGUGGGUCACCGACAUCGCCGCGCCUCUUGGCAUCAAGGUGCUCUACUUCAGCGUGUUCUCAGCCGUCGCCUCUACCUACACCGUCGUCCCGGCGCGCCGCCUCCAUGGGGCGGCCCCGUCGGCCGGUGACUUCACGGCCGCCCCUUCCGGUUUUCCCAAGGGCUCCGCGCUAGCCACCAUUCCGCCCUACCAGGCCGCCGACUUAACCUACCUGUUCACCAGCUUCUACGGCCAGCCCUGCGUCUACGACCGUGUGACCGCCGGCAUCAAGGCCUGCGAUGCCAUCGUGAUAAAGACCUGCGUGGAGAUGGAGGGCCCCUACAUAAGUUACCUCUCCGCCCAGUUCGGCAGGCCAGUGCUUCUCGCCGGACCCGUCGUGCCGGAGCCGCCGCAGGGCCAUCUCGAUGAGCGGUGGGCCAGCUGGCUCUCCUCGUUCCCGGAGAACUCCGUCGUCUUCGCCUCGUUCGGCAGCGAGACGUUCCUACCGACAGCGGCGGCGACAGAGCUUCUCCUCGGCCUCGAGGCCACCAACCGGCCGUUCCUCGCCGUGCUCAACUUCCCCAAGGGAGCCGACACGGAGGCGGAGCUCCGGGCACGGAUCCCGCCGGGGUUCGAGGAGAGGGUGAAGGGGAGAGGCGCGGUGCACACGGGGUGGGUGCAGCAGCAGCACAUCCUGCAGCACCAGAGCGUCGGGUGCUACUUGAACCACGCCGGGUUCAGCUCCGCCGUGGAGGGGCUCGUAGCCGGUUGCCGGCUGGUGCUGCUGCCGAUGAAGGGCGACCAGUACCUCAACGCGGCGCUGCUCGCGCGAGAGUUGCGGGUUGGGGUGGAGGUGGCGCGCCGCGACGAGGACGGCUGGUUCGGAGGCCAGGACGUGAGCGAUGCGGUUGCCUUGGCGAUGGCGGAGGGAGGGGAUAGGGACGGGAGGAAGUGGAGGGAGUUCUUGACGGACGACGCCGUUCAGAAGAGGUUCGCCGGGGACUUCGUCCGGCAGCUCAAAGAGCUCGUCAGGGCAGCCUGACUCUAGCUCGUAUGUGCAAAAAUAGUUUGCAUCCUCUGUUGCACGGAGUACGGUUACCUGAAUGUAUGCUGUGUAAUUCGCUUCUUUUACAGCACGUGGCUACAAGCACUAGAAGUCUGCAACCAAAAACUCCUUAUUAAAAUACAAGCCUGUUCUGAUGACCCAAAUUUACUCUCACCUAAUUGUUCUUAGCUUUGGUUGAAUCAUCAUAGUUCUUCGUUGUUUAGGCCAGUGUGUAUACAUAUGUAAAGGGAUUUAUCUGAUGUUACGAUACUUAUCACCACGUACGAACUUGCAACCAAUACUCUUCCAAUUAUAUUUUUUUAACAAAAAUAAUAACUGGGUCAUCAAUAAAGGAGACCAUCUAAUGGCAUCCGCAGAUUCGUCGAGGAGAGAGAGCGCGCCACGGAAGUAAUUAAAAACGUUGAAUCGAUUUAUACACCUAAUGUUUUUUUUGAUGAAAUAGGAGGGGAAAGACCCCUGGUUAUAUAUUAUAUAUAAAAAAAAGAACAAACAAAAGGUGCUAAACGGUUCAAGAAACAAAGAAAGAGAGAAAAAAGAUCAUAAAGAUUACAAUGUAUGUUCUAGCCAUUCUAUCAUCGGUUGCUUCCAAUCCUCUUUUACGCGUAGCAUAACCUGCGUAAACACAACUUUGAAUCGCGACAUGGCACUAUGAACCGAUGGAGUGAUGCCCUGAAAAAUCCAGUCAUUCCUUUCCAUCCAAAUACACCAGCUCAUGAGAAUAAUGACCUCCAUGAAGAAUUUGACUUGUAGUUGAAUUCUGAAGCUAUUUAGGAUACUAUAGGGCUCUUGUGUCAAAUCUGUAAACAGACUAAUAUUAAUCCAACAUUCUUGCGCAAAGGGACAUUCCAAGAUAAGGUGAAAUAAAGUUUCUUCUAUGUCAUGCAUGCAUAAGACACAAGAGUAAGAAGGCAACUCCAUAUGCUUCCUUCGAAGAACAUUCCGUGUACUCAAUCUGUCUUUAAGAAGUAACCAGAAAAAGAACUUGUGUUUGCUUUGGCAUUUUGAUUUCCAAAGCCACCGAAAAACUGGAUGAACAUACUGAUGUCCCUUUAGUGUCCGAUAUGCUUUGGAUGAGGAGAAGUGCUGAUUGCCCCAAAUAUAUGUCCAUCUGUCUUGCUCAUCAUUUGUGGAGAUAAGAUCCAAAUCAGCAGCCAAUUGUAGCAAUUGAUUCAUGGCCAGUGGAGUGAGGGGCAGGGUGAAGAGAUGUUGUAAAUUUGUUAGCACAUAUGCCUGCCUGACAGAUAUGUCAUCCUUUCUAGUAAAUGAGUAUAGUUGUGGAUAUUCUUGUGCAGGAAUCUUAUUGUUCCACAGGUCAUGCCAAAGUAAACAUGUUAGCCCAUUGCCCACUGUUACUGUCGCUUAACCUUUGAAUUUAUCAAUGAGUUUGACAAUGUCACGCCACCAAAAAGAACCUUUUCUUAUUCGUCCUGGUAGCCUACCAGUAGCAUAGUGGUUCUCCCAAAUCAUACACCAGUAUACACCUAAUGUUAUGGCGCAACCAAGGAGAACAUGGAGGCUCUGAUCAGGAUCGGCCAUGAGCUGCUCAAGAAGCCUGUGUCAAGAGUGAACAUCGACACGGGGAUGUACGAGCCUGUUAACGGUGAAGGAACGAAUGAAGAGGCGCUAGCACGCUUCGCCAAGAUACUCUCCGACGAACGCAGGCUACGGCAGAGCAAACUCAGCUCCAACUAGCUCUUGUUCAUAGCUACCUUGGUGCUUGCCAACAAGUUCAGCACAUGGAGCUGGAGUUGCAAAGUGGAUGAGAAUGGGAUGGGCGGUAGGUGAAGUGCUGAUCAUAAGUUAUUUUUAGUAAUUAAUCAAGAAACGUGCAUUAAAGCAAUAAACAUGUAAGCAUAGGGUGAUGUAAGUGCUAACAUCUGUAUUACACAAAACAGAUUAGUUCUCUAUGUGCUAACAAACGUUAGGUAUAAAACUUGAUUCUGGUAUACAUAUAGAUAGCACUUGGUUUUGUUUUAAAAUCAGGUGUGAUAACUACAUCACCGUUGGAUGCGGCCUUGUAAUAAUAACACCAUGGCACAACUCCUCGUGGGGUAGAAGCUGUUUUUUGUUCUGUUGGCUAUUCCAAAAUGAUAUUGUUUUCAACGAACCUACUAAUGUUACUAGAAUGCAGGCGAUUUUUAUGGGUACUUAUUAGCUACGCUUUUAUUAGAGAUUGUUGCAAAGAGAGUAUCAACCAGAGGAUUUGCUGAAAGUUUGCCGAGCUUUGGAAGUCUUGGCAAUGCAAAUUUUUAUCGAGAUUGGCCGGCUGCAUAAUAAAAUAGAAUUUUCCCUAGUUUUGUGUCAUCAUACAACAAAAUUACAACUCUAUAAUAAUUUUGAAUAUUGUAUACAUAAUCUUGUACUCCCUCUGUUCCAAAUUGUAGGUCGUUUUGGAUGUUCUAGGUGCAUAAAUAUUAUUAUGCAUAUAGAUAUAGUGUAUGUCUAAAUUUAUAAUAAUAUCUAAUAAUCGAGAAAAGUUAAAAUAACUUAUAAUUUGGAAUGAGUAAAAGAUUGUAACCUAAUUCAUUUAUUAGAAAAUGAACAUUCGCUUAAUCAUUGCCCACAUGUGUUAUUGUGGCCCAAAAUUUAUUUGCUGGAAGAAAAAAAAUCAAAUAAUGAACAGGGAGCUCAAUAACUAAUCUCACUGGUUGAGCACGAUUAGCGUAGUUUACUAUUACUCCGAUGCGGACAGCUCAACCACUCCGCAUCGCAUCUUGUCCGAUGCGUCUUCAAUUUUUUAGGAAAGGAAGGCUUGUUUGGUUUAGCCACUUUUAGUUCUUAAAUGCCACAUAGAUGGAUUAAAAUAUGAGCUAAAGGGUUUAGGUGCUGUUUGGAUCACCAGUCCAUGACAAAUUUUAGUCUCUAAAUUUUAAUCCGAACUCUAGCCCUGUUAGGUUGUUUGGAUCCGUGGGCUAAACUUUAAUCUUUCAUCACACAAUGACUGAUUUGCCCUCAUUUAUUGAUUCCAUGCACUAUGCAAACUUUAGUCCAUACUACCCUCCUUUCUUGUUUCUCUUUUUCUCUUGUCUUCUUUUUAUUUUAUACUAUAUAUGAUUUCAUAUUUUGAAACGAAAAAAGAUUAAUAAAAAUAAUUAGUGGCUUGAUAUGUAGAUUAACCAAUUAUUUCCUAUUUUCUUUUUUUUUAAGCAAAUUUUUCAUCCCUUUCCAACCUUAUCUCCUCCACCUAUCCGAUCUCCUUCUUUCUUUCCUCCCAUCGCAGGCUCCUCCCCGACCACACCGCUCCGCUAGCAGCCUCCACGCUGCGCCCCUGCGUUUGCCACCGGCCACCUCAGCCCCUGCGCUCUGGUGCCUUUGCUCCAGCGCCCACCGGCCAGCCUCUCCUCCGCGGGCUGCGACUCGCCACCUCGCCCUCUGCACUCGCUGCUGGCCGCCUCUCCCAGGGGCCGCGCGACUGGGAGGAGACGGAGGAGCUUGGGCGGGGCGAGAGGGGCGGAGAGCGGGGUCGGCCGGCGCGGACGCUGCCGCCGGGGGCAGCAAAGGAUGGCAGAGGAGGCGGAGUCCGACGGCCCCGGCGCACCGUGGAUCAGGAUGUGCGAGUUCCGGUGCGCGCGCAGCGGCUUGGGCUCGGAUCCAGCAACAGCAGCGAGGCGGAGGCGGAGGAGCAGGUGGCGGCGCCGCGGGGCUGCCAAUGCGAGGCGGAGGCGGUGGCGACGUCGAGCAAAGGAGGCGGGACCGGGCGGAGCGUGCAGGGAGAGAUAGAGAGUGCGGGGAGGAGAGAGAGGGAAGGGGGGACCGGGGGUAUGGUGCGUCCAGCACCCACCCCAAGGAGUUUUAGCCCAGUUUAGGGCCUCUUGGGGAGCAAAAUUUUUUAGCUCAGAUUUUAGCUAUUUGCUCUCUUUAGCCUACCUGUUUGGAUCCCAAGAGCUAAAAAAUGAGCUAAAAGUGCAGAACUAAAAUUUAGCCCUUAGAUUCAAAUAGGCCCUUAGUCCUCCAGUCCAAUAGGGAUGGACUAAAGUGGACUAAAAUGCAUUGGAGACACCCCUGUCCCUCAUUUAUUGCCUCCCUCCCACCUGGCCCCCUCCGUCGGCCUCCCUCCUGCUGCCCUCUCACCCAGCCCCUCCCCCCCCCCCCCCCCCCGCCACCGACCUAGCUGCUGCAGGAGGCGGCUCAACUGGCGGCAGAGGCGGCGGGCCGGGGGUGAUGCAGGGGUGGAAGAAGUAGUAGAGGAGCGGGGGCGAACGAGGGAGGCAACGCGGCACCAGCGGCGGCAAGCUAGUGCGGCGCGGAGGAGGUCGGCCGGGGAGAGGAGCUGGAUGACUGUGCGGAGGAUGUCCUCUGUGAGGACAGUGGCCGUCGCCACCUGUGGCUCUACCUGCUGAAGUUCCACCGGUGGUGGCGGAGGGGGAGAACGAGGCGGAGGGGGAACGAGGUGGCGAUGGAAGGUGGAGGAGGUCGAGGCUAGGAGGAAGGAGGAGGAAGAGGAUAAUAUCAUCUUUGUUUAUAUGCUUUAAUGAAUUUUAGUAACGACUAAAGUUUAAUCCAUAAAUAACGGAGAUCAUAUCCUCCGCUCCCGACAAUGGUGUUCGUUGACCUUGAACAUUUGGUUUUCGUUGGUGGGUGUGAUCUAUAGUUAUUAUUUAUUACCGGCAGGAGGGACCCUAAAUAUGCAUGCCUCCUCGAUCCAUCCCAUAAAAAUACCCAGCUACAGCCAGUACCCACCCACCAAACCCAGACCAUGUCGGGCAGCGGAAAUGGCAGUGGCCGCGCCGGCGUUGCCACUCACGUCGUCAUGUUCCCCUGGCUCGCCUUCGGCCACAUCAGCCCGUUCGCCCAACUGACGCGCAAGCUCAUCUCCGGCGACGAGACGCUCCGUGUAACGUUCCUGACGGCCGCCGGGAACGUGCCCCGCGUCGAGGCGAUGCUGGCGGAGGCCGCUGGCGCGGUGGCCGUCCUGCCGCUGGACCUGCCAAGCGUGCCGGGUCUGCCCCCGGUCGCUGCGAGCACGGCUGAGCUCUCGGCCGACGGCGCCGAGCUUCUUAAGGUCGCCCUCGACGGCACCCGGCCGCAGGUCGCCACGCUCCUCGCGGAGCUCCGCCCGGACGCCGUGCUGUUCGACUUCGCCGUGCCGUGGGUUUGCGACGUCGCGGCGCCCCUCGGCGUCAGGGCGCUCUACUUCAAUGUCUAUUCCGCCGCGACCCUCGCGCUCACCGUCCCUGCGCGGUGUCCCGGUGGGCAGCGCCCGUCGGCGCACGAGCUCACUGCGGCGCCCGCCGGCUUCCCGUCGGACUCGCCGCUUGUCACGCUGCCGGCGUACCAGGCAGCCAACAUGACGUACGUGUUCGAGAGCUUCUACGGCAUGCCGAGCGCGUACGACCGUUUCAUCGAAUGCUUCAAGGGCUGCUUCGGCAUCGUCAUGAAGACCUGUGCCGAGAUGGAGGGCCCCUACAUCGACUACAUCUUGGCCCAGAUCGGCAAGCCCGUGCUCCUGGCCGGACCCGUCGUGCCGGAGCCACCGGAAGGCGAGCUCGAGGAGCGGUGGGCCAGCUGGCUCUCCUCGUUCCCGGAGAACUCCGUCGUCUUCGCCUCGUUCGGCAGCGAGACGUUCCUACCGGCAGCGGCGGCGACAGAGCUUCUCCUCGGCCUCGAGGCCACCAACCGGCCGUUCCUCGCGGUGCUCAACUUCCCCAAGGGAGCCGACACGGAAGCGGAGCUCCGGGCACGGAUCCCGCCGGGGUUCGAGGAGAGGGUGAAGGGGAGAGGCGCGGUGCACACGGGGUGGGUGCAGCAGCAGCACAUCCUGCAGCACCAGAGCGUCGGGUGCUACUUGAACCACGCCGGGUUCAGCUCCGCCGUGGAGGGGCUCGUAGCCGGUUGCCGGCUGGUGCUGCUGCCGAUGAAGGGCGACCAGUACGUCAACGCGGCGCUGCUCGCGCGAGAGUUGCGGGUUGGGGUGGAGGUGGCGCGCCGCGACGAGGACGGCUGGUUCGGAGGCCAGGACGUGAGCGAUGCGGUUGCCUUGGCGAUGGCGGAGGGAGGGGAUGGGGACGGGAGGAAGUGGAGGGAGUUCUUGACGGACGACGCCGUUCAGAAGAGGUUCGCCGGGGACUUCGUCCGGCAGCUCAAGGAGCUCGUCAGGGCAGCCUGACUCUAGCUCGUAUGUGCAAAAAUAGUUUGCAUCCUCUGUUGCACGGAGUACGGUUACCUGAAUGUAUGCUGUGUAAUUCGCUUCUUAUGUUUCCUUUUCCUACUUUGUGCUUUCUAUUGAUAAACUUGUGUCACUAUCGUACUGUCUUCCUCAGUCCUUAACAGUCGACCAUCUCAAUACAGGUUCUAUCACAUCGCAGGUGGGUCCUCUGUUAUAUAUCUUUCCUCUUCUUUUACAGCACGCGGCUACAAGCACUAGAAGUCUGCAACCAAAAACUCGUUAUAAUGCAAGCCUGUUCUGAUGACCCAAAUUUACUCUCACCUGGUUGUUCUUAGCUUAGUUGAAUCAUCAUAGUUGUUCGUUGUUUAGGCCAGUGUGUGUAUAUAUAUGUAAAGGGAUUUAUCUGAUGUUACGACACUUAUCACCACGAACUUGCAGCCAAUACUCUUCCAAUUAUAUUUUUUUAACGAAAAUAAUAACUGGAUCAUCAAUAAAGGAGACCAUCUAAUGGCAUCCGCAGUAGUAAUCUGAUUCGUCGAGGAGAGAGAGAGCGCCACGAAAGUAAUUAAAAACGUUCAAUCGAUUAAUACACCUAAUGUUAUGUGAACCCCAUGAAAAUACAAACUUGCAGCCAAUACUCUUCCAAUUAUAUUUUUUUAACGAAAAUAAUAACUGGAUCAUCAAUAAAGGAGACCAUCUAAUGGCAUCCGCAGUAGUAAUCUGAUUCGUCGAGGAGAGAGAGCGCGCCACGGGAGUAAUUAAAAACAUUGAAUCGAUUCAUACACCUAAUAUUAUGUGAACCCCACGAAAAUAUAAAAAGUAGCCACCGCUCUUCCCUAUCAUCCAUCCGCCGCCUCUUCCUCCAUUCUAAUUUCCUGGGGAUGGUCAUAUGAAUUGAUCGUGAAUGGCCACUAACCAUGCAGCAUCAAUCUUUUCAAAUACGGGGAAAAAUAAAAUAAUUCCCUCAUGCGGAAAUUAUCCGCAAUAUCUUAUAUUAAAGAGCUGACCUUUUCAAGUACUUUUUCUGCACUUCAACUUUGAGUUGAUCAGGCUCUCCUUUUCUUUUAUAGAUAUAUAAUAGUUCUGAACUAAUUGUUGAAAGUUUACACUUUAGUUAAGACUUCGAAAUUGAGGUUGAAACUUGAGCACUCUUGGGAGCAUAGAUCUUGCCAGUUCCUCGCAAGCAUCUUGUCUACUGUCAAGGUCUGGAUUUGCACCAACAACCAAGCAAAGAACUUGUGUUUGGUCUCAAUGUGUGCCUUCCAAAUAGUGUCUGCAUCAACUGUGGUGUAUGUAAUUGCAAACUGUACUUCAUAAGCAGAUUUGGCAGUAUAUUGUCCAGUAGGUGUCCAUCUCCAUGUGAUCCUAUCCUCUUGGUCAUUGAAUUGGAUCUCCUGCACCAAAUCCUAUAGAGUUACGAAUUCUGCCAGUUCUUCCAUCGUUUGCAUUCUCCACAGGCCUCUUGUCCAAUUUAGUUCAGUUGUGUCUUCUCUUAGAGUUCUAUUUUUCCUCCAUGCAAGCUUGUAAAGUCUUGUACUAUAUCUCGAGGUGCUUUUCAAUUUGCCCAAGCACACUACCAGAAUGUUGCUCUAUUCCCAUUGCCCAUUGUCACUAUUGUGCUUGCUCUGAAGAGUUGUUUGUCUGUUUCAUCACAUGGAGUUUCUGAGCUGACCCAUGGUCUUUCAGGCUCCGUCCAUUGGUACCAUAGCCACCUUGACCUUAGUGCUCUACCAAAAGCAAGUUCUAGAAUUCCAAGCCCCCCCAAGCUGUUUAGGAAGCACUGUCUUCUGCCAUCUAACCAACCAGUGCCAACCAUUUGCCUGAUCAGACCCUUUUCAGAGGAAAAUUCUUCUUAUUCUGUCUAUCUUCUUAAUAGCCCAUUUGUUCUAUUUGAACACAGUGACAAAGUAUAUUGGGAUUGAAGACAUUACUGUCCUGACAAGUGUCAGCCUUCCUGCUUUGUCCAGCAACUUUCCCUUCCAAUUCUGUAAUUUUCCUACCACCUUGUCAAUGAGUGGUUGCACUUGCACUCUAGUCAAUUUCCUCAAAGUGAGUGGCAACCCUAAGUAUUUGCAUGGUAAGGUACUAAUCUGGCAGGGAAACUCUCCAUGACUGUUUGAAGUUCAAUAUGCUCACAUCUGAUUGGGUAAGCAGCAGUUUUGUUGAUGUUUAUGUGGAGGCCUGAUGCAAUACCAAAAAUUUGAAAGAUCAUGUUGACCACUUCAAUCUCCUUCCUGACUGGAUUAAGAAAAAUGGUAGCAUCAUCUGCAUACAGGCUUGCUCUGAAGGUUGAUACCCUUCCUUGAAUUGGUGACAGGAGAUGUUGUUCUUCAGCAAAAACUAAUAGCUUUUGCAAAGGCUCCAGUGCCAAUAUGAAUAGCAUAGGUGAUAGUGGAUCUUCCUGUCUCAAUCCAAUCCUGUGUUUAAAUUUGUGUGUUUGUGCACCAUUUACAAAGACUAAAGAUGUUGCUAUGUGGAGCAAAAUUGAAACCCAUUGUCUCCACCUAGAUCCAAAUCCUAUCCUCUCCAUCAUUACCAUCAAGUAAUCCCAUCUGACACUGUCAAAAGCUUUAGCAAUAUCUAGUUUCAGGAAUAUAGUUGGCCUUCCUGCUCUUUGCAUUUCUCUUAUGAAAUUUUGUGUGAAAAGGAAAUUGUCAUGUAUACUUCUCUUUUUAACGAAUGCACUUUGAUUCCUGGAGACUAGCUUAUUUAGGACCAAGGAUAGUCUUGUGGCGAGUAUCUUGGAAAUUAUCUUAGCUAUACUACUUGUGAGGUUAAUUGGCCUAAAAUCUGUCACCCUUGCUGCAUCACUUGUUUUUGGAAUGAGGUAGAUCUGUGCUGAAUUUAGGACAUUGAAGUGAUGGCCAUGUAAAGUAAAGAAGUACUAAAGAGCUAACAUACGAUCCUCUUUUAUCACUUCCCAAUAUUUUUUGAAGAAGAUGCCAAUGAACCCAUCUGGCCCAGGAGCCUCUUCAGAUUUUAGAUCCAUCACCACCACUUUUACCUCCUCUUCUGUGAAAUCCUCUUCUAGAAUCUGCAAAUUGUGUCUCUGUAUAUUUAGGAUCUCCCAAUUUUGUGUUUCAUGUCAUGGUUCCUCCCUGCCAAGGUUGUCCUGAAAAUGUCUGAAGAUGGAUUGUUCUUUAUCAGCCAGUAGGUGAACACUGCCUGUAUGUGUUUGUAGUGACUGUAUAAAUUUUUUUCUUUUCUUCCCUGUGACCCUUAGGUAGAAGAACUUGGAAGUGGCAUCACCAGCUUCAAUGUAAUUAAUCCUAGCUUGUUAUCUGAUCCUGAUUUUCUCAAAGGCAGUCAUAGCCAAAUAUCUAUUUUUCAAAUCUCUUGAGUAGCAACUCAUCUUCACUCGGACUUCUAUAUUCCUCUACCACAUCAAGGAUCUAGAUCAACUGCCUAGCUACUGUCAGUAGCAAUUUGUUAAUCCCAAUCAUUGAUUUUGCCCAAUUCCUUAAUCUCUUUGAUGUUCUUUGCAUCUUUGUGUGAAGUCUUAGGUAAGGGCUAUGCAAAGUGACAGGCUUUCCCCAUAUGUCAGCCACCUCCUGUGUGAAACCUCUGAUUUGUGUCCAGAAUGUAUCAAGCCUGAAGCCUUUGUAUGUUUAAAUGGCACUAUCAGCAGUAAUUAGCAAUGGACAGUGAUCAGAGACCAAGGAGGAUUGAGCUUGGAGUAACACAUUUGGCAACAUGCAUUCCCAAUUAACAUUGCAAAAAACUUGAUCUAUUCUUGUAUGUGUGACAUUGUUUGUCCAAGUAUAUCUUCUUCCUCUUAGAUUCAAUUCUCUCAGCUCAAGAGCCUGUACCACAGCUCUAAAUGCUCCCAUUAUCCUUUUGUUUAUAUUGAUGUUGUUUUUGUCUUCUUCUUGCAGUAUCAUGUUGAAAUCUCCCAGGAAUAACCACUUGUCAGAUAUCAUCCCUGCUAUUUGCUUGAUCUCUUCUAGGAAUUGUAGUUUGCCACUGUCCCCUUGGGUCCAUACACCACUGUCACUCACCAAGUUACUAGAAUGGUUGUUGCCUCAAGACAUGUAGUGAUAGAAUUGUUUUUGAUGAAAUAUUCUUUGAUAUUGUAGUAAUCCUCAUUUACUGCUAGUAGGAUGCCCCCUCUAGUGCCUUGUGUAGGUAAAUAAGCAUAGCUUCUUGAGAAUUUUUGGCCAAGAUAUUCAGAUUCAAGAAUGUCACUGAAUUCCUCCAUCUUGGUUUCUUGGAUGCUUAUUAUGGUGCUACAUGUAUCUUGUACAAGAUCUUUUAGUACUCUCCUUCGUGUUGUGCCAUUCAGGCCUCUCACAUUCCAGUUAAGGAGGACACAUUUUUGUUCAUUCAUUGGAAACAACUUUGCUCAAGAACACUGUAUUCUAUGAUGGCCUCCCUUUUCUGAGUGUUGUCUGCACCCUCUGUAGCUCCAUCUUGCUUUGCAGCUGAUAUUGUCAUCUGAAAGCAUAAGACCCAUCCAUCUCCUCCACCGAAACACACCUAGACCGACACACACCCACACACACCAACACACACAUUUGGAUUGCUUGAUUAGCAGGUUUCUUCCUCUAGUGCCAAAGCACUAAGGGUAUCAUCUUCUUCAGUUUGUGUGAGGCUGAAAGUUUCUCUGAAAUUAGCCACCAAUUGCUUCUUCAAUGGGUCCACAAACUGCUCCCUGAACAUCUUGUGAUCAGUUUGAUCUACCACUUUGCCUUCUUUCGGUGUUCCACACUUCUUCAUUAGCAAUGCCAUAGCAUGUUCUUCUAUAGUUAGAGUUGUCUUAGGCUCGUCUGCAAUUCUGUUACUGCGCCUGAUGGACUCAAAUUCCUUCUUGUUGUUGUUGCCUUCGGCAUUUUCUUUUCCUCUUUUCUAUUUAAUGCUCUUCUUUUGUUGCUUAGCUUCCUUUUUUUGGUGUCUUAGGUGUGGCUAGGAUCACCUCAGGGAGCUUCCUAGCAAUCAACGUAGGUUAAACUGAAAUUGAGGCAUUUGCAUUGACUGUAGCUCAUCCAGCACACUGGUUUUCAAUUUCAGGGUUUUGCUUCUGUGUUGUUAAGGUGGAUCUGCAUAGAUCAUUCUGAUCUUAUUUGUCCCCUUGUCACCUUCAUAGCCCCUGGGCCCCAUUUUGUCUAUUGCAUUGAUAGUCUGCUCAAGAUUAUUAACAUGAUCCUGUUCCUGAUCCACUGCAUCUUCUAACUCUAUUAUUGCCGAAUUUACUAUCUUUGUUGCUGCUUGCUAGUGGCUAGUCUGUUGAGGGUGUCCCUUAUCCUUGCUACUGUCUCCUUGAUCUUGCUCUGUAGCAACGUGCUGCCCUUCUUGCUCUCUUGUUUUCCCCUUUUCAAAACCAUUGCAUCCAUCCUUUUGCGUGAGCAUCAGUGCAGCCUCGUCUGCCAUUGGGUCAGCUUUGUUGUUGUUGCUGCUUCUUUCAUCAGAAUGGAACAGAAGCAGCUACUCUUGGCUGGAGCCUGUUUGACCUUCCUCGUUGGGUUGGUAGUAUCCUGAACUUCUGCUCCUGUGUGAGCACUGUUCACGGUCACGGGUACUGCCCCAUCUCUUCCAUGAAAGUGAUGGCCAUAGCCACCGCGCCUGCCUCCUUGGCUAGAACUGCCCCCAAUGAAGCCUCUCUAUUCUACCAAAUUCAAAUCAUGCAUGCUCAGCGGUGGCUGCUGCAUCGGUGGUCGACCACGGCCACCCCCACCUGCCGGCGGUGAUCUGUCCCGCCUACCUCCGAGCCUUUCUUGAACUAGGAUUCUUCGGUGAGGAACUUGAUCAUUCGAGAAGCCGUAAUACCAAACAAAAUGAUGUUUGAUAGGCCAUUCAUCCUCAUACAAAUCCUCGGGCAAUCCACUGACACCACUAUGAUAACUUCUUUCUAACGGACUAGAAGGCAAAGGUGAAUAAUCAAACACACGAUCCAGGUGGAUAAUAACCUCAUAGUUAAGCAUCUCAGCCGGCCCAGUUCUGAUAGCGGGAAGUUCAAACUCUCCCAUUUGCCAAUAGUAUUCUUCAGGGUAGGUUAGUGGUUCUGCUAUCUUCAAAGUGACAGUCUUUGCUAAGCCGUCAGGGUUAAAGGUCCACACCCAAACACAUAGGCAGUCCCUCUCUUGCUCAGUGUCAUCAUCAGUAUCAAAAUCUUCAAUGAACGUGGUGGAGUUGAACAAUCUAGCUACUGUGUCUACUUGUUGGGCAUGCUCAGGAAUCCCUUCAAUGCACACUUUGGCUCAGUAACGGAGUUUUGAUGCCGAAGCACUAACCUGUCUUGUCCAAGGCAGGAGCCAAAGAGUAGUUUGCCCAGCGCACAAGCCACCAAGCCACAAUGUCGUCGUGUGCUGCUCCGGCGUGGAGAAGUGAAGCAAGAACGUGGACGUCGUAAGGUGUUUCACCCCCAAAUCUUGCUCCCUGGUGCCACUCCCUCCAAGUUGUUGAAGGACAUCCCGGUGCACAACCUGAGCAGAGAGCUUGGCCCUUCCGUUCAUCUGAAUGCUGAUGAGAGCCGUCAACGAAAGCUGCCUCUCUUCCUCCCUUGCAGCUACAGUCCUCUGCACAUAGACCGAAACAUGGUCUGGGCGCCUGCUCGCCUCCCUGGGCACGAGCUCAGGUUCCAUGGCUGCCUUCCCCACCGCCGGGUAGGUUCGGGAUGUGGGCGGAAGGCAUGUUCGCUCUGGUUGCUUGCAAUGCAGAGGGGAUGUGGAGGUGGAUGGUGUGGUGGCGAUGGCGGCAAAGGUGCGGCGGCCAGAAGAUGUAGCUUUUGGUGUCACUAGCUAGUGAGCGGUGUAGAGGGGGAAAGCUGGAUCUAUUGAGCGGCGGGUGGAAGGGGGGCGAGCUGCAGGACAGGAAGGCGGGCAAGCUCGAGCGGCGGAGUGAUAGUGGCGCACCUUGUGGCCAAAACGCAGGUAGAGUAUGCACCGUGACGGGUCACGGCAUUCGCCGAUGCGGUGGUUAGAUGCAAGGCAGUUGAAGCAUCUAUUACCUGUCGUGGCUUUGAGCAGCGAGAGCCAUUGGUCAGUGGUGUGCAGCGCCAGAGCUUCAACGCGUUCCAGGCAGUGCGCGUCUUGAAGGCAACUAUGCCCCGCCCCCAUCCUUUGCAGACUGAGACGACACGUCUUCUCGCCGGUGUCUUUCUUCUCUCUUCAUGCAGCUCUUGCUUUGCUUGUGCUGAUGUGUGGCGAGGGAAUCUCGGCUUGAAUGUCCUAGGUUUGAGUAGGACGUCCUUGUAGGAGAGCUUGUGAGUGCUUGAUCUUAUCAGCAGCGAGGGAAUCUGGCGAAAUGGUGCCGCUGUGUCCUUGCUCGUCCCUUCUUUGGAUUCCUUCUCCUCUCUGUCUUUCGCCGUUGCUCCUUCCUCUGUCUUGUUCAGCUUUGCAUUGAAACGCUAAGAGCAUGGGCUCUUGUCCUCCGUCUCCAAGCAGUAAAGGAGGUCCAAAGCUUCUGCCGCUGAGCCGGCGACCCAGGGAAUGUGGCAGGUUGCGAUGUCGAUUUUGUGAGGUGGCUAGGUGUGGUUGGAGUGCUGUGGUGGUUGUGCUGUGUCGCCGGCGAGGUGCCGAGCGGCGGUGGUGCAUCGGUGGGAGCGAGGUGGGCGGGGCGAGCGGGGUGCUCCAUCGGAGUUAUCGAUCGUGUUUGCAUACGUAGGUUUGGCGGCACCGGCAGAAACCGUCGCUGAAGGUCUUCAGAAGCACAAAAGACAUGUGUCUCUACAGUAGGAUACUCCAAAGCUAUAUGAAUCUUGAUUUCGAAAGUGAGUUAGAAAUCUGUACAAACUUUUACAAAAGUCGGAACGGUAUCUUACGUGGUUCAUGACUGCCACCUUUGAUCAGUUUACAUGUCAUUUUGGUCCACGUAAGAACCAAGAUCACAUGGCACUUGGAUAUACUUAAAUAGCCAGCCGUGUCCACAUUGAACAACCUGUGCACAUCUUGAGCAUGACACGUGCAUCGUCUUCAACCUACCACAAAUACAUUUUCACAAUUGAAGUCGACAUCUUACCAACUUAAAUCAUGGAUGAACUGUGAAUGUCAAAACCUUCACGGAACAUGAAAAUUAAAGCUCAACGGGAGAUAUAUGUUCAAAUAGACAAGUUUUCGUGAUCAAAAUAAAGGAUCAUCGUGUACAUCCAGACCUAAAUUAUGUUAAAAAAAACGUCUGCAUGACCCAUGCACAUGUAAAUAAACCUGUUACUCAUUGCUUUGUGACCUAGCUUUGAUCAAAAAAUCAUUCCCUUCUGAUGUGAUCCAUUAUUUCUAUUAUUUGCGUGAUACGAACCCAUCCUCUUAGUCAAUUUUGGAUGGCCAUCAUCGAGAUUGUGCCACUGCCCAUGCUCCUCGAACAACCUGCCAGUGUGGGAUGUGUUGAGGGUGUGUCACACAUGCAGGAUAUUAUUAUAGACUACAGUAGAGGAUUUUGUGGCAACAUAGCUUUAUCAUUGGAAGGAUGAGUUUUUGGACGUCUAAACAUUUCAAUCCCGUUGCCACGAGUAGCGGAUUCGAAUCAAGAACUCUUCCAUUCUGAAACUUUUGGCGAAAAAUUAAAUGUAUACCUGUAGUACUAGGGAAUAUCUUGGCCUGAGCUUAAUUGAAAGACAUUGAGUUUGUACCCACCAUUUCUUUUUAGCACAAGUUCAGUGUACGAAGUGAAAUGAGAUCAGUGUACGUACUCUUAAAAAUGGAGGGUGCCAGAUCUUGUCAUCUAUAGUGUCUGAUAUGAUCCUAGAAUUUACAGCUGCAGAGGUCCACUUACGGCUGUUGGCUUGAAUCGCCCAAACUAAAGCUCAAAGAAAUUGAUGUACUAGUGUGUUGUUUUCUAGCAUCACAGACCUCAUCUGAUUUUUCCUUCUUAGUCAGGAUCGUACGUCAUUGCCCAUUCCUCAUCUUGCUGAUCCAAGAACUCAGUUUAUUUCAACGCUUGCUUCAACAGCUAGCCUCCAGGUAUGGAAGCAUUCACAUCAUGUUACCACAUUCAUCGCCGCUGAAAACAAUGCCUUCUUGAAAGCUUGGCUAGGGAUUUAAGAAAUCGCCGGUAUUCACAUCCUUUAAUCAACCACAGCCUCCACUGGGCAUGGAGCAAACAGAUCGAUAAUAUAUACUAAUAAUCUUCUCCAAUCUCAACGGCAUUAUUAUCAGCAUGUGAUAUGUACUUUAUUGACCCAUUCCUGCCAGCCGAUCUUCAUAUCAGAGCUCACAGACUCCUAGUACAACUAGCUAACUGUGUGACAAAAUGCAAUGCAUGUGAACUGGGCCACGUGUCAGCCUGCCAUCUUGAGCAAUUGAUUGAUUCCCCUAGUGACAAUAUCAUUAUGGCCAUGCAUAAAGCUAAUCAAGUUCAUUAUUUAAGUGCAUAAUUCAUAUUUUUUAUUUGAUCAUGUAAACACUGGAGAUGUCUAUUGGGAUUUGGAACCCCGAACAGAUAAUAGAGAGAGGGAGAAGGGAGGAAACAAAUCAAUUAAAAGUGAGACAAAUGAAUAUGUGGCAAAAAGUCCUCUCCUCCAAGCCCUAUGGCUCUAUUUAUAGGGAGGAGGAGGUAACUAUUUAUAUUAAUUCCAUUGGUGGGGUCGAAUAUGACAGAUAGGUCCCUGGACUUGACAAAGAGAUUUCUGAACGUUACAACUGAGUCUCUAACCCUUACAAAUAAGCCCUUGGAUCCUAUUUCGAGUCUCUUUUACACAUAGGGGGGUUCCUAGCCUUAGUCCACUUAAGGUGCACCCCAACAAUGUCGAUUGAUCAUGUACAACAGGAAAAAUAUAGGCAUCGAAGCGCAACUGAUUUAGUCAAGCUGAGUUGUUCUCUAACUUAUCGCAAAUUUUAACCUGGACCGUUGCUGCACUGCGGCCUUGCCUACUUCAAAUUCACCAAGCAGUACAUGCAGUUAUUGUUAAACAUAUGUAUAGAAAACAAGUUAUGCAUUUCAAUGAUUGUAAGCUUGAACUUAUGCAAAACACAUGACAAUACAAAGAAGACACUGAAAUUGAAAGAUCGAUGUAAAUCCACUACAAGUCAUUAUACUAGUUUACAUUGGCCGAUAUGCUGUUACUUGGCCCAUAGAAGCCCAUGUAAAAUACUGAAAUCCACUAGAAGUACAUUGUUUGUAAAAAAUAGUGCAUUGACCAUGAACUUCCUCAGACAUGUUCCUUGUGAUGAUAGUACGCCAGCUUGUAACACCUGUAGGGCUCAUUAGUAGUCGGACCAAGUUGCCUAUAUAAAAGUUACUCUCGAAAUAAAAGUUUAACGCCUUUUUGUAAAGUGUAAAUUUGUAAAUGUUAUGUUAUGUGUGUCCACUUAACUACAGUCGGAUAUCGUGUUAACUUUUUAAUCAGGAAUCAACUGCGUUCCAGGACCGCGGCCAACCAGAAGCCCAAGGCAUGAAACAGGAAGCAUACAGAAUAUGUGCAGGAAAGAGACGCUGCAAGGAGUGGUCAGCUCUGGUUUAUAAAUAGGUCGCCGUCGCCUUCAGAUCGGGAAGAGCACAUGAUCCAAGAGGAGCAUCUAUUAAAGUGAUCUCUCUUCUACUUGAUCUCCGUUCUUGUCCCUACAGCGAAGGGUGUGGUUCAGCUCAGCCCACCCAAAGCGGGGUUGCUUGUGCUACAACUCACCAUGGCCAGCGGCACGACCGCCACCGCCGACACGACGGUGCCACAGCCCCCGCCGUCGCAGGGGAGGCUCAUCACGGUGCUGAGCAUCGACGGCGGCGGCAUCCGGGGGCUCAUCCCGGCCACCAUCAUCGCCUGCCUCGAGGCCAAGCUCCAGGUACUAUACCUGCAAGCAGCAAUUCAAACACAGUUCACAAACCACAGCUUUUUUUUCCUUCAGAAUUGCACCUGUCGCACUAUACGUACGCUUUGUUUGUAAGCUUGAGCUGAUGAACAUCUGGUCAUGCGAUCUCGAUGCAGGAGCUGGACGGCCCGGACGCUCGGAUCGCCGACUACUUCGACGUGAUCGCCGGGACGAGCACCGGUGCCCUGCUCACGUCGAUGCUGGCGGCGCCGGACGAGAACAAGCGGCCGCUCUACGCCGCCAAGGACCUCACCACCUUCUACCUCGAGAACGGCCCCAAGAUCUUCCCACAGAGGAAGUAAGCAGUCAGAGAAGUUCGUUCUCACUCCAGGCAAAUCUCACAUGACGAUUGGUGUUCCAACAAUGUUGCUCUUGUUGCCUCUGCAGGCUAGGCUGGCUGACGUCGGCGAUGAACCUCGUGGGCACGAUGAGGGGCCCCAAGUACGACGGCGUGUUCCUGCACGACAAGAUCAAGAGCCUCACCCACGACGUGAGGGUCGCGGACACGGUGACCAACGUCGUCGUGCCGGCGUUCGACGUCAAGUUCCUCCAGCCGGUCAUCUUCACCACGUACGAGGCCAAGGCCGACCCGCUCAAGAACGCGCACCUCUCCGACAUCUGCAUCAGCACGUCGGCGGCGCCGACCUACUUCCCGGCCCACUUCUUCACGAC